AUGGCGGAGGUGGUGAGUCCGGUGCCCGGGGCGGGGCGGAGGGAGCCAGGGGAGGUGGGUAGAACCCGAGGCCCCCCAGUAGCCGACCCUGGCGCCGCGCUGUCUCCCCAGGGGGAGAUAAUCGAGGGCUGCCGCCUGCCCGUGCUUCGGCGGAACCAGGACAACGAAGAUGAGUGGCCCCUGGCCGAGAUCCUGAGCGUGAAGGACAUCAGUGGCCGCAAGCUUUUCUACGUCCAUUACAUUGACUUCAACAAACGCCUGGAUGAAUGGGUGACCCACGAGCGGCUGGACCUAAAGAAGAUUCAGUUCCCCAAGAAAGAGGCCAAGACCCCCACCAAGAACGGACUUCCUGGGUCUCGCCCCGGCUCUCCAGAGAGAGAGGUGAGGAAGACCCUGGACCUAUCUCUACAGCCGGCCUCCGCCCAGGCCAGCGGGAAGACCUUGCCAAUCCCGGUCCAGAUCACACUCCGCUUCAACCUGCCCAAGGAGCGGGAGGCCAUUCCCGGUGGCGAGCCUGACCAGCCGCUCUCCUCCAGCUCCUGCCUGCAGCCCAACCACCGCUCAACGAAACGGAAGGUGGAGGUGGUUUCACCAGCAACUCCAGUGCCCAGCGAGACAGCCCCAGCCUCAGUUUUUCCCCAGAAUGGAUCAGCCCGUAGGGCAGUGGCAGCUCAGCCAGGACGGAAGCGAAAAUCAAAUUGCUUGGGCACUGACGAGGACUCCCAGGACAGUUCAGAUGGAAUACCGUCAGCGCCACGCAUGACUGGCAGCUUGGUGUCUGACCGGAGCCACGACGACAUUGUCACCCGGAUGAAGAACAUUGAGUGCAUCGAGCUGGGCCGGCACCGCCUGAAGCCGUGGUACUUCUCUCCGUACCCACAGGAGCUCACCACAUUGCCCGUCCUCUACCUCUGUGAGUUCUGCCUCAAAUACGGCCGGAGCCUCAAGUGUCUGCAGCGUCACUUGACCAAGUGUGACCUGCGACAUCCUCCGGGCAACGAGAUUUACCGCAAGGGCACCAUCUCUUUCUUUGAGAUUGACGGCCGUAAGAACAAGAGUUAUUCCCAGAACCUGUGUCUCUUGGCCAAGUGCUUCCUCGACCACAAGACGUUGUACUAUGAUACAGACCCCUUCCUCUUCUAUGUCAUGACAGAGUAUGACUGCAAGGGCUUCCACAUCGUGGGCUACUUCUCCAAGGAAAAGGAAUCCACAGAAGACUACAACGUGGCCUGCAUCCUGACGCUGCCUCCCUACCAGCGCCGGGGCUACGGCAAGCUGCUGAUCGAGUUCAGCUAUGAACUCUCCAAAGUGGAAGGGAAAACGGGGACCCCUGAGAAGCCCCUCUCAGACCUUGGCCUCCUAUCCUACCGGAGCUACUGGUCCCAGACCAUCCUGGAGAUCCUGAUGGGGCUGAAGUCAGAGAGCGGGGAGAGGCCACAGAUCACCAUCAACGAGAUCAGUGAGAUCACCAGCAUCAAGAAGGAGGAUGUCAUUUCCACUCUACAGUACCUCAACCUCAUCAACUACUACAAGGGCCAGUAUAUCCUCACACUGUCGGAGGACAUCGUGGACGGACAUGAAAGAGCUAUGCUCAAGCGGCUCCUUCGGAUCGACUCCAAGUGUCUGCACUUCACUCCCAAGGACUGGAGCAAGAGGGGGAAGUGGUGACCAGACACUGUCCACGGCGGUGGCAACAAAGCAGAACUGGGGCUGACGGCACAUCCCAGCCCUACCGGGGCCCCCGAGAGGCACACCAAGGGAGGUGGGGCUGAGGACAGCUCUGUAAGGAGAGGACAGGCCUGGUAGGGCCUGGCUGGUGCCUAGCACCGAGAGAGAGAGAGAGGGAGAAGCAGACUCCCCACUGAGCUGAGAGCCCGACGUGGGACUCGAUUCCAGGACCCGGAGAUCAGGACCUGAGCCAAAGGCAGACGGAGCACUGGCCAUUUGUUUUGGAGAAUCUCUCUCAGUUUGGAUUUGCCUGAUGUUUUCUCCCAAUUGCACUGAAGAUAUUUAUUUUUGGCAAGAAUACCACAGAAGCGCUAUUGUGCCUUUCUCCAUUAGCAUAUCACUGCACUUUUUUUAAAAAAGAUUUUAUUUUGAAGUAAUCUCUAUACCCAGCAUGGGACUCGAACCCACAACCCCAAGAUCAAGAGUCGCACGCUCCUUGGACUGAGCCAGCCAGAUGCCCCAUCACAUAUUACUGAGAGAUAGAGAGCACAAGCAGAGAGAGCAGCAGAGGGAGAGGGAGAAGCAGGCUCUCCACCGAGCAGGGAGCCCAAUGCGGGACUCAAUUCUACGACCCUGGGAUCAUGACCUGAGCCAAAGGCAGAUGCUUAACCAUCUGAGUCACCCAGGCACCCCUGAUUAAUUGGAAUUCUAGAGCUUUCCCUUUUCCCUCAUCUAUUCAUUCAAUUACUUACUUAUAGCAACAUGGGCUCAUGCAUAUUUACUCAUUCUAUAGGUUUUAAUCCAUUAUUAUCAUUAUUUUCUUACUUAACUCAUUCCAGGCUUGGCCAUCGAGAGCUCCUUCAAAUUCCCUGCCUUCAUACGUUGAAAAAGUCGCCAUCAUUAGAAAAUUUCAUAUUGAUAUAUAAUUCACAUACCAUAAAAUUCACCCCUUUAAAGUAUAAAAUCUAGUCAUUUUAGUAUAUUCACAAGAUUGUGAAACCACCACAAUGAUCAAGUUCCAGAAUAUUUUUGUCAUGUUUAAUGCUUUGCAACUUGAAUUCUACUUUGCUUUAUAUCAAGAGCAUUACCUCUGAUUUUUUAUUGUUUCCAUUUACCUGGUAUAACUUGUCCAUCCCCUUUAGUUUCUCUGAAUCAUGUUGCUCUAGGUGUUUCUCUUGCAGGUAACACAUAGUUGGGUCUUGCUAUUUGAGUCCUACUGAAAACUUUAAAAAAAUAGAUUACUUGGGUGGAGGGGGGGGAUGAGAACCUGCGCUGCUACUGGAAGUCUCUCUCAAAAUAUUGCCUCUCAUCCCUCCAGUUUGGGGCCUUGCUAGUUUAGAGUCCUUGGUGAAUGCUAAUGGACACAGCACUGGUUCUUUUGAACUGGAAGGGAAGACCGCUACCUUGUUAUUUUGCCCUUUUCAUGCCUUAGAACCAACAGCUCUGAAAGGAUGAUUGGUCCUGAUGAGCAAGGAAGAAAUUGCUGUGGUCACACAAUGCAGAGGGGGAGUUCCCAGGACUCAAAGAACUAAAGACACUCAACACAAGCAGACUUACCAAGGACUCAGACGUCUCAGGGAUGAAGGUCACCUUACUACGUAAAGAGCCUUUAAGGGAAAAAAAAAAAAAAAAAUAUAUAUAUA